GAUGAAGAACGCAGCGAAAUGCGAUAAGUAAUGUGAAUUGCAGAAUUCAGUGAAUCAUCGAAUCUUUGAACGCACAUUGCGCCCGCCAGCAUUCUGGCGGGCAUGCCUGUUCGAGCAUCAUUUCAACCCUCAUGCUCUGCUUGGUGUUGGGGCCCUACGGUUGACGUAGGCCCUUAAAGGUAGUGGCGGACCCUCUCGGAGCCUCCUUUGCGUAGUAACUAACGUCUCGCAUUGGGAUUCGGAGGGACUCUUGCCGUAAAACCCCCAAAUUUUCUAAUGGUUGACCUCGGAUCAGGUAGGAAUACCCGCUGAACUUAAGCAUAUCAAUAAGCGGAGGA
rnacentral:misc_RNA from 1 species